UCGACCUGAGGUCAGGAAGAACACCCGCUGAACUUAAGCAUAUCA
rnacentral:rRNA from 1 species